GCGACCUACCCAUGAGCAGGAUGAAGCGAAAGUAAAAUUUCGUGGAGGUCCGAACCCACGAGCGUUGAAAAGCUCGGGGAUGACUUGUGGGUAGCGGUGAAAUUCCAAUCGAGCCCGGAGAUAGCUGGUUCUCCCCGAAAUAGCUUUAGGGCUAGCCUCAAGGUGAGAGAUACGGAGGUAGAGCACUGAAUGUCCUAGGGGGUAUUGCACCUACCGAAGACUAUCAAACUCCGAAUGCCGUCAUCUUAUACUUGGGAGUCAGACUGUGGGUGAUAAGAUUCAUAGUCGAAAGGGCAACAGCCCAGAUCGUCAGCUAAGGUCCCUAAAUGUAAGUUAAGUGGUAAAGGAUGUGGGAUUGCACAGACAACCAGGAUGUUGGCUUAGAAGCAGCCACUCAUUCAAAGAGUGCGUAAUAGCUCACUGGUCGAGUGAUCCUGCGCCGAAGAUUUCCGGGGCUAAAACUUACUACCGAAGCUACGGCAUCAGUAAUGAUGGGUAGGGGAGCUUCCCAUACGGGUUGAAGCAUGACCGUAAGGACAUGUGGACAGUAUGGGAGUGAGAAUGUUGGCAUGAGUAGCGAGAUGUGGGUGAGAAUCCCACAGGCCGUAAACCCAAGGUUUCCAGGGGAAGGUUCGUCCGCCCUGGGUUAGUCGGGACCUAAGCUGAGGCCGAAAGGCGUAGGUGAUGGACAACAGGUUGAUAUUCCUGUACUACCGAUAACCGUUUGAGAGAAGGGAUGACACAGUAGGAUAAGCUAAGCACACUGUUGGUUAUGUGUGCCCAAGCAUUGAGGCAGUCAAAGUAGGCAAAUCCGCUUUGAUAAUGCUGGGAUGUGAUGGGGAGCGAAAUUUAGUAGCGAAGUAGCUGAUUUCACACUGUCAAGAAAAGUCUCUAUCGAGGUUAAAGGUACCCGUACCGCAAACCGACACAGGUGGGUGAGGAGAGUAUCCUAAGGCCAGCGAGAGAACUGUUGUUAAGGAACUCGGCAAAAUGACCCCGUAACUUAGGGAUAAGGGGUGCCACCAUCAGGUGGCCGCAGAGAAUAGGCCCAAGCGACUGUUUACCAAAAACAUAGGUUUCUGCUAAGUCGCAAGACGAUGUAUAGGAGCUGACGCCUGCCCGGUGCUGGAAGGUUAAGGGGAUCUGUUAGAGCAAUCGAAGCAGUGAACUUAAGCCCCAGUAAACGGCGGCCGUAACUAUAACGGUCCUAAGGUAGCGAAAUUCCUUGUCGGGUAAGUUCCGACCCGCACGAAAGGCGUAACGAUUUGGGCACUGUCUCAACAACAGACUCGGUGAAAUUGUAAUUCCGGUGAAGAUGCCGGAUACCUGCGACAGGACGGAAAGACCCCAUGGAGCUU
rnacentral:rRNA from 1 species